ensembl:snoRNA scaRNA:MeU2-G25 small Cajal body-specific RNA : MeU2-G25
UGCAAGUGAUUAUAAUCCGAGAUUUGAGAGUGUUGGCACACCUGCGACCUGAAUCGCGUUACUGAUUGGCGUAGGCAAGAUGCCAAGCUCUGUGAUUUACUUUGAUCUUAUCUGAUGCA